UACGAGGGGGGCGAGCGUUGUUCGGAAUUAUUGGGCGUAAAGGGUGCGUAGGCGGUGCGGUAAGUCUGUUGUGAAAUCUCCGGGCUCAACUCGGAGUCUGCAUCAGAAACUGCCGUGCUGGAGUGUGGGAGAGGUGAGUGGAAUUCCCGGUGUAGCGGUGAAAUGCGUAGAGAUCGGGAGGAACACCUGCGGCGAAAGCGGCUCACUGGACCAUAACUGACGCUGAUGCACGAAAGCUAGGGGAGCAAACAGG
rnacentral:rRNA from 1 species